GGUCCAAGCAUCAACAUGUCCAAGAAACAGAUGAACUUAACACAAAAUGGCCAGGAAGAAGUUAGCUUAGAUUUACGUCAUUUACUGUAUCUACUUCCUCUUUCUGAAGCCAGAACCAUCAGUUGCUCCAAACUGAACUUGGAAAGCUUGCUCUCCUUCGACAUUUAUUUAGGAUCACAGAGUGAUUCCAAUUUGAAAAAUUCUCAGAUUCAAAUCUGGCUAAUUGACGAGACUAGGGAGUUUUCACACAGCUCUGGGGCUCUCGCUUCCUCAAAACAAGAAUUAAAGCACUCUUUCACAUGUGGUCAGCACAGGAAGGGGGAGCCAUUUACUGUAAAUGCUUCUCUGAUGCAAUCCAACCACCUCUUUCAAAGACAGAAUUCAUCCAAGAAGCCUUAGUCACUUCUAGAAAAAUGCCACUGCUCUGAAUGUACACACAGCAAACCACACGCCUAGAGACAAGAGAUGAGCUGGUUCGGCCAACAGAAAACAGAUCAACAGAUGGGGAGAGAGAUCUUGCCUUCAUCAGAUCCAGUGGUGUCGUUUCUGAGGUUGGCCUUUGAGAAGGAUGCCUGACAGACACGCUACCCUCAUUUACUGUUUCACAAACCAAGCGCAAGGAGAUUUCUCCUCUGCCUACCUGUGAAAGCACUUCCUAAACUGUGGGCCUCUGGUUUAGAACCGGGAACCUAGGCAUAAUUAGUAACUGAGCAACUAUGACUACUUAGUUAGCUAAAAACAUUUUAGAUGCAGGAAAAAAGAGGAAUACUGUAAUUUAAACCUUGAAACUGAAAGUACAACUCAGAGAGGGUGGAUUACACAUGAAGAGGGUGAGACAGGGAAACGCUGAGGAGCAGUUGGGUAGAAAAGCACAAGGAAAGCAGUUCUAAGCUCUUCAGAAAGGACACAUUUCCCUAAAACCCCAAAUCCACCAGACGAAACUAGGGGAGGAGGAUUCCCCCUGUUUCUGCUUACCCGGGACACCUUGAGUUCUUCUGGGGGCAGGAUGUGUGCCCUUGCUUUUCUGGAGGAGCCAGGGACGACUCGAGGCUGUGUUCUGCUGAAGACGGGAAUCCCCUUGAUGAGCGAAACCGCACAAGGUAAUAUAUGUGGUCUGAGCAAGCCAUUGGCUACAGGAGGCUGAGGCGUGUGCAAGUCUCAUUUGCUAGCCUCCGGGUAAGCUCCUCACAGCCCAUCAUCUCAGGAGAAGACGCAGGGUGCACUAUGCUCCAGCAGAGUCAAAACUAGACAGGGUUCGUUGUUUCCGUGGCACUCUCCCCGGCCCAGAGGAAACCACAGCCGACCACAGGAGAUCUGGCUCCUUCACCAGGCGAAAAAGAAUUAGGAUGUCGACACCGGCAAUUUACCAACGAAUCACACACCAAUGCCAGAGCUUGCUGUCUUUAUACAGACUGCCUGGGAGUCAGAUGGAGGUACAGGCAAGGCCAACAGCUCUAUCUCCCCACGUCUGCCACUCUCUAAAGCCACUGCAAUUUCCGGCCAGUGACACAAAGCUUACCUACUGAAGAGGGACAGAGACGGCAUGAGGACACAUGGCAGGCAGCAUCUUACUGGACCCACUGUGGACAUUCAGAGACCAGAAGAGCCACUCGGGUGAGUCCCAGCUGACUCACAGAAUCCUGCUCAAAUAAGGUGGAAUCUAAUAGGAGGUCUCUGCGGCAGUUACUCUGGGAAAGGACGACUCCAGAGACCCAGGUUGUUAAAAGACUCUUGUUGGCCAUGUGAUCUGUGCCUCUCACAGAAUGUCACCUGCUCUCCAACCUUCACCAACAGGGUCACCUGACCAUGGGACUUUCCACCUCUAAAACUAAGUUUAAAACAUCAUUUAUAAAGCACUCUGCCCUGGGUAUUUUUAAAAAUACUUAAUGAAAAUUGAACUAAUACGCAUGCCAAAUGUACUUGUCGGGCUGGAGAGAUGGCUCAGAGGUUAAGAGCGCCGACUGCUCUUCUAGAGGUCCUGAGUUCAAUUCCCAGCAACCACAUGGUGGCUCACAACCAUCUGUUAUAAGAUCUGGUACCCUCUUCUGGUGUGCAGAUAUACAUGGAAGCAG
rnacentral:lncRNA from 1 species